UGCCUUCAGUGUUGCCCAUUCAUCUUGGCUGCUAAUGAAUGUGGUGUCAGAGAAGGCAUAAAACAAACUUCCCCUCUCGCAAACUUGACCUGAGCUUGGAAUUGUUCCUGCCAGGUUUGCUGUGAGUGGGGGACAAUG